rnacentral:rRNA from 1 species
GACGAACGCUGGCGGCGUGCUUAACACAUGCAAGUCGAACGGAAAGGCCCUGCUUUUGUGGGGUGCUCGAGUGGCGAACGGGUGAGUAACACGUGAGUAACCUGCCCUUGACUUUGGGAUAACUUCAGGAAACUGGGGCUAAUACCGGAUAGGAGCUCCUGCUGCAUGGUGGGGGUUGGAAAGUUUCGGCGGUUGGGGAUGGACUCGCGGCUUAUCAGCUUGUUGGUGGGGUAGUGGCUUACCAAGGCGUUGACGGGUAGCCGGCCUGAGAGGGUGACCGGCCACAUUGGGACUGAGAUACGGCCCAGACUCAUACGGGAGGAAGCAGUGAGGAAUAUUGCACAAUGGGCGGAAGCCUGAUGCAGCAACGCCGCGUGCGGGAUGACGGCCUUCGGGUUGUAAACCGCUUUCGCCUGUGACGAAGCGUGAGUGACGGUAAUGGGUAAAGAAGCACCGGCUAACUACGUG